rnacentral:tRNA from 1 species
GGCAAUGUGGCUCAGUAGGUAGAGUGCUUGCCUAGCAUGCAUGAAGCCCUGAGUUCAAUUCCUCAGUACCA